rnacentral:rRNA from 1 species
UACAGAGGGUGCAAACGUUGCUCGGAAUCAUUGGGCGUAAAGCGUGCGCAGGCGGUUUUGUAAGUCAGAUGUGAAAUCCCCGAGCUCAACUUGGGAACUGCGUUUGAAACUACAAGACUAGAAUAUGUCAGAGGGGGGUAGAAUUCCACGUGUAGCAGUGAAAUGCGUAGAGAUGUGGAGGAAUACCAAUGGCGAAGGCAGCCCCCUGGGAUAAUAUUGACGCUCAUGCACGAAAGCGUGGGGAGCAAACAGG